rnacentral:lncRNA from 1 species
GACUCCCCUCCCUUACCUUGCUUUUUAAAAUGCUUUGCUGAAAUCCAGUGGGAAGUGUUGACUUUUUGAGCAUGAGCUAUCCCAGACUCCAGGCUUGGUGCCCUGCAAUAAAUGCUGCAGUUCUGUUCACCACAACUCAGUUUGAAGCAUAUAUUUUGGAGAAUCUGGAGGGUGGAAGAUUUCAUGUAUUAAAGAGCAAGGCCCACUUGGCAAAAUCCAGGUGUUUUACAACUGAACAGGACAUUAAGCAUUGGAUUAUUCUAUCAAGUUCUAAAUUUAAGACCUCCUUAUUCUCAGAAGAGACAGACCAUUCUUACAAAAUUGGGACUGCUCAGCCCUCCUAUUUUAAUUCAAGAACUGGUGGGUGGUUGUCUCCCAUUACUGAGCAAAUGUGCUGGACUCUGUCAAGACAUAGAAGGACUGGGAAUAGCUGAUAAAGCCUCUGUGAGCAGUUUUCGGGAGGAAAGACUGGGAGGAAAUGUACAAAAUAACAAAGCUGACGUCCCACUGCAAGACCCAGAAGUAGAGUUUCU